CCUUCUUGGUUCAUUUUUCUUUACUCUUUCUUUUCUUCUUUCUUUGCUCCUUGCUUUUCUUUCUUUGCUUUUCGAUCGGCAACACCUUACUUCUCAUAACAGCUCUCAUUUUCUUGCACUAAAAAUCAUAGAUAUCUCUCUCUAAGAAGGAAUCAAGCUCUUACUAAAGUUUAGCUUCAGUUUGUGGGAAGAUAAUCAAAACCUCAUUUGAUUUUGGGUAUUGAGAACGAGAACAUGGACAGUUGAGCUUUCGCGUCUUCUGUUUUCAAGUAAGGGAUUUAUGACAUGUGCUUUUGAUAAGUAUAAAGAUUAUUUAGAAAAGUAUUAUGCAUUAAAGUUUUUAAUUAGAGAUAUUACAUAUAUGCAUGAUUUAAGUAAAAUAUGUGUUCGUGAGUUGUUCAAUCUUAUAUACAUAAUAAUUUUAACAUAUUGAUACUAUUAUUUAUAUCACAAACAUAAUAUUUAAGAAUGGAGUGGAUAUGCUACUGUUGUGAAAAAAUUAUGUCAAAUCAAAGUUAUCAGAAAAAUAUAGUUUUCAGUUAUUCCAUUGUUAUAAUCUGAAUUUAAGCAAUAGGGGUUAUAGUACUGGUAUUUCCAUGGAGAUUCUGAUUGGCCAUUAAAAGUGGGACUGGCUCUGCUGUACUUACCCUUGUUGGUAACAGCCAACUUGUGGAGGAUGUCAACCUACCCUUAUGGUUGAAAAUAUGUAUUAUGAUAUGAUUCCGGAAUUACUUAGCAUUGUGGGGAAUGCUGGAUGCCUGACACUCUAUGCUAGAAGCCUCCCAAAUUUGUGACAGACUUACAAUUGAAUUAACUAAUAUGUAUUACAAAUGAGCUAUUAAAUUAUUUGGAAAUUAUAAGAAAAUUAUGAUGAUAAGAAAGGUAUAUUGAAUGUGUUAUAAGUCUGAUGAGAAGUUAUGAUAAAAUAUUUUAUAUUCUAUUCAAAGUUAAGAUUACUGAAUUAUGUUUAAGUUCCUUAUUUUGUCCUUUUAUUAUGAUAUGAAAGGAAAAUAAAGUAUUUUCAUCUAAAAGCUCAUAAGUUAGUUCAAGAGCAAUAUGAAUAGUAUGAAGGCUAUUUUAUCAAAGCUGACAUAUCCAUAAAAUAUUUUAUUUACAUGUAUUCUUAUUAAAGGCCUAUGGAGCUUAAAACCUUACUGGGCUUCGCAGCUCAUCCUAUUAUAUUUCAGUGCAUAAAUUCUUCCUGGAAGCAGCAAGAGUAUUAGAGGUGGCAAGGAUUCUAUGAUUUUCGUUUGUUAGAAUGUAGAGUUUUUUUGGUUAUAUAGUAGUUUUAGCUCUUUUAUUGUAUAGAAGGAAUCAAGAUGUACUUGAUCCUUGAGCACAAAUGUUAUUUAGUACCUUAGUUUAUUUUGAACUCUAAUUGUAUGUCUUUGGGGUUAUGUUUGUAAUAAGAGUUUUGCUAAAUGUUUAGCUGUAUAAUAUUUACACGUAUAUCUUAAGUUUCAGCUAAGUGGCAAUCUUGCAAAGUUCAAAUGGAAUGAAUUUUCAAGGUUUUCAUCAUUUUUGUA